CACCCCUCAACUGAUCCAACAACUCAUCGAUCCUUGGCAAAGGGUACUUGUUCUUCACAGUGACCCGGUUCAACCCCCGGUAGUCAAUACAUAAAUGGAAACUCCCGUCCUUCUUCUUCACAAAUAACACAGGCGCUCCCCAAAGUGAAGUACUAGGACGAAUGAAUCCCUUACCCAACAAAUCUUCUAGCUGCUUCUUCAGCUCUGCCAUCUCUGCUGGAGCCAUCCUGUAGGGUGCCUUAGACAACGACGCUGUCCCUGGUUCCAACUCAAUUGUGAAAGGAUCAGACCGUGAUGGUGGCAAUCCCUGCAACAAUUAAAACACAUCCUCGAACUCUUGAACAACCCGAAUGUCGCUCACUACUACCUGCCCCACAGACUCCGGCAUAGAUAUCGUCACAGGUAAGCCUCGCAACCCUUCUCGAUCAUUUUCUCUGCCUGCACUGCUGAGAUGACGAGACUCCCUGAGGUAGGUCUCACUCCCUGGUAAACCAACCUCCCGUUUGGCCGCACAAAAGAAACUCUCCCACGGUGGCAGUCAAGAUGUACUCUGUAAUGAUCCAACCAAUCCAUUCCCAGAAUAACAUCAUACAACUCUACAGGGCUGAUAAUCAAAUAUGCUGGCAUUGACUCCCCUUCAAUAAGAAUUUCCACACUCUUCGCUCUCCCUAGAACCGCUAGAAACUGCCGUUUAGCAACCUUGACGGCUCCAAACUGCUCACCAGGAUCCCCAAGGAUGUUGCCGCGCGAGGCACUCUCCGGGGUAAUGAAGCAAUGCGAUGCUCCAGAGUCAAACAACACAUGGGCCUCUACACCGCCCACUAAUAAGGUCCCUACAAACCUCAUGUGCUAAGAAACCUAACAUUCAUCACAAAACAAUGAUAUCCAAAACAACAGAAAUAAUUCACAAAGUCUGAGUCUAAGAAAUCAUACCAGUGAUCGCUCUGUUGCUUGUACUGCCUAUCUUACGUGUGGUGUAACCCUGCGGUACCGCUGCAAUAUGUGCUAACUGCUGCACUCCCUGCUGCACUGGCGCUCUCUGCUGCACCGCCGGCUGUACUACUGCCACUGCCAUCCGCUGCAACUUAGGACAAUUCGGCCUGAGAUGUCCUAUUUCCCUGCAGUGGUAGCACUCUCUCGUCUAAGCUCGCUGCGUGCAAUCCGCUAUCUUGUGGUCAAGCCUCUCACAAGAAAAACAUCCCGCACAACCACCCUGUCCAGCUCUAGAAGGAUGAUCCCACUUCCUCUUCUGCCCCUGCGCAGGCUUGUUGCCCUUGCUAGGUGCGACCUGCUGCUGAGUCUUCUUCGGUUGUACCGCUCGACUCACUGCUACCACCUGCCUCUGAAGGUCCUCCUCUACCUUAACAGCUGUCUCCACCAGUGCCGCCUUCGUGGCGUACUGCGACACUCUACACCGCACCCUCAAAUCCGGUCGAAGUCCCCUCAAGAACCUCCUCAUCUGGGCCUGGUCAUCCUCCAUGUCCCGACCCGCAUACAGCAAAAGUCGGUUAAACUCCCGGUCAUACUGUCGAACCGACCGCUCACCCUGUGUCAGCUCAAGAAAACGCGCCUCCAUACGAUCGAGCGCCUCCUGCAGAAAGUACUUGGCAUUAAACUCAGCCACGAAAUCUGCCCAAGACAUAUCUGCCUGCCUCCUCCUGGCAGUCACAUUCCGCCACCACAAAUGUGCAUCCCCCUCUAGAAAAUGCACUGCCAGAUCCACCCGAUACUCCGUCGGGCAUUUGCUCAAACCGAAGUUCCGCUCAAGCCGCGCCCUCCAACUGUCGGCCUCCUCAGGACUAGUACCACCAUAAAAAUACUCGGUGCCAAUCCUCUACAACUGCACCAUCAUCCUCAAAUAAGAUGGAACCUCCUCAGCAACCGCAGCCCUCUGCUGAACCUCCGCCACUCGUGGCGCAACUGGAGCCUGCACUGGUACCACACCUGGUAACCGCUCCAACAACUGCCUCAGCAGGCCCGUCAAAACAACCUCUGGAACCUGGGCUCCUCCGGCUACGGCACCCAUCACUCUUAGGUCUCAGCACAAACGACAUACACACCGGCACCGACACCAGCUCCACCAGCCCCCACUCCGGCUGCACUAGCUAUAUCAGCACCAAGACCGUCCCCAACCCUGGGCUCCACAAACUCAGACUGCGAACCCACACUCUACUCAAUUGUGGCACUGUGGCCAUCACUCUCGCUGGUACCCUCGAGGACUCAUCCUCCACCGCGACCACGACCACGACCACGACCACGAACUCUAGCUCCUCUAACCAUCUGCGCUACUCAAGAACAAAAGGCUAAGAAACUAGAACAACGAAUAUAUCACAAACAACUUACCGUGGAAUCUCAUUUAAGGCUCGGAGAAUAUGAUGGUAGG
rnacentral:sRNA from 1 species